AUUGUUGGCAUGUACAUAACCCAGCUUUAAGCCUACAAUAAUACUAUUAAUUUCACUACACUCUACCUAGUAAGAAUAAUUCAACUGUGUCUCGGGAGAGGCUAUCACCACAGUUAAAACGCCUCCCAUAUACCUAUAAUGUAGCAACAGAUUGCAGAAUCGCUCCAAAACGAUUUUUUGAGAAAAUUAAUGAAGCUGCAUUAAAAAUAACAGUCAAAUUAUUCAUAACAAACCAUUUUGAGGCUGUAAAUACUUUUCAUCUAAAACUUUAUUUAUAUUAAUGAAGAAUUCAACACUUUUUCACAAACGUAUUUUACUCGCUGCGAAUAUCCACACCAUGUUGACACUCGGAACUCUCGGGAUUUUUCAUAUCAAAUGCACUGAGUUAGAAUUAUCUCCCGUAUUUCCUUUGAUGAACAGAAUACUAUAAAUUCCUAUUUAAACGCGAGGAAUUAAUAUCAGCAUAAAAUUGCGUGAAACUCGUCUCGCGAAUUCUAAAAUCUCGCUUUUAAUAUUCCGACAUAUGUAAACUACAUGAAACUAUGAUAAAAUUUCGGCAUUCACUAUUUUAUGUUCUCGCAAUUUGAUGGAGAAUCGUUGAAUCGCGGAAUUAAGUACUCGCGUAAAAUACGGAAUCUACAGUAUAUGACAAAGCUUCAAUGAAAAUUUACACGUAUUUGUAAUAUCGUUUGAGUUUCUCCAUGCAAAUGUGAUAUUGUGGAAAUAUAAAGUAAAGAGCCUCCCAUGAUUUAGCGUGAAUGUAAUGCGCAUGCGCAAGAUUGUAAAAUCCAAAAAAUCCAGAUGAUUUCUUGGUUUUUAAAAGGACUUUUCGUUGAUUAUUAAUUAGCGAAGCUUGAUUAAGAAGAUAUAAAAACAAAUAGGUAAUCUUCAAGCACCAAUGAUGUUUAAAAUAUGUAAAACAAAAGACAGUUCUCUUCCGAUUUCUCGGUAUUAAAGCCCAAAAACUCGAGUCUAUUAUUCUAAUAUAGUAGUAUAGAUAAACAACUACUAACGAUUAACAUAUUCAUUUUAGGUCUAAAAUUCGAAUUUUCACUUCAACAUUCAAACUGUAAACAAAAGCUUUGUUUACAUAGCAAAGAAUUGUAAGCUCUGUAACUCGCCUAUCACUCAACAAAUAAACACUAAAACUUUGGUUGCCUAUGAAAAAUGCAUUACUAAAGCAUUGUUAACAUCAAAAUAGGAAAAAAUAAUGUAUGCCCCAAAAUCGUGACAUGCCCCUUUAAGGCUAUCAAGGGAGAAGAACGUAUUCUUUACUGAUUGAAAUUGCUCAAAUAACUAUAUACAUAUUUAGCAAUUCAUUACUUUAUAGAAGUACCGCUUUUGUAUGAAAAGGUCUCGUAUUUCUGAUGCGUUGGUUAUUUGAAAAGAUCUCAUUACUGUCGUUAAAUGAAUCACAAAAUCAAAGUAAUUUGAAAUUUGAUAUGGAUAUGAUCCAUUCUAACUCCAGCGAGAUGUUAUAUUAAGAUCACUAAAUGGAGACAGAGAAUAUAUUAAUUUGAUAUCAUUCUCUGUAAAUAGUGGAAAUCAGUGCCCACGCAUAGUCACCGAUUUCCUUCACUUUUUAUUGUUUGAUGCACUGAUCUAUAUGAGUUUGAAUAACUAGAUAUGCUAUUGUUUACGACGAAAUUUCAAUUAAAAAAUAACUGCAGUGUUGUUCUAGACUAACUUUAUGAUAUAUAAUUUUGCAAGGCGGGUGUUACCGUGUUAUUUAAGCUACUGGAAACUGUUACUUCAUGGAGCGCACUGUCGAUUGUUAUAGUCAUACUACUUGCUUUUUUCCACACAUUUUAAACCGGGUUUUCCGAAGGAAAAAUCCGGUUAUUAAAAUGGUGAAAAUGGCAGGCGGGCGGCUGCCAAAAGGGUACCCUCAUUGUACGGAUAACUACUCCUACAGUUUUCAAGAUAGGAAGUUGUUCUUUUGCAGAUCAAUUGUACAUAUAUCAGAGGUGUGCAUUUUGCUAGGAUUUUGAUUUCCGAUAAUUUAUGAAAAAAAUACCAGCUUUUGAACUUAGUCAUUUUUUGGCAAAAUAUUGCAUAUAGGGUACCCUCAUUGUACGGAUAACUCCUCCUACAGUUUUCAAGAUAGGAAAAUGUUCUUUUGCAGAUCAAUUGUACAUAUAUCAGAGGUGUGCAUAUUGCUAGGAUUUUGAUUUCCGAUAAUUUAUGAAAAAAAUACCAGCUUUUGAACUUAGUCAUUUUUUGGCAAAAUAUUGCAUAUAGGGUACACCAUUUCACUGGAUAUGGGUUGAUUUGAAUUAUGGAUACAGUUCACAUAAAAGAAAACCCGGUUUGCUGUCACAUUGACAGCUUUUCACUUGUUUCUAUGUUGUUUGAUGCAAUGUGAUAAUACUAGUAAAAAAAUUGAAUUGAUUUGAAAUAGGUUCAGAAAAUAACCACUCACAGCUGAAGUUUUACAAAUGUUAAAAAAAAUCGCCAAACUUAUUUACUUCACGGACCUUAUUACCUUGCAAAUUAAUACAAUUUUAUGCAAAUUGUUUUCAUUAACGCAAUCACAAAUAACAACCUGUUUUUUUCUUCCUACCGUCAUUGUAUGAUUUUAGAAAGUUAUAUAUAUUCACCAAAGCAUGUUUUUUCAAAACCUUCCAACCUACCUGUUUACGUUCUUGUCUAUCAACGAAAGGAGUAGUUUUUAACAAUAAGUAGGUAAGUAUAAAUGAUUGGCAGUAUCAUAUUAAACUUUGUAGGGGGAUGGACCUUUAAGAUGACGAGGACUUUUCAGGUUUUGCUGAUAUUUUCCUUGCUGUGCUUUGUAUUUACAGAACAAGGAUAUUACUUUAAGAGGAGAGCUAUUAUGACAGAGAAGCCGUUUAGAUGCCGUGCACCCCUCUGUGUACCUCCGCCACCAAACUGUAGUUCCAGGUUCGAAUUAAAACUGAUCAAUGGAGUUUUAUGUCCAGUAGCGUGUACCCUCAAAUGUGAUGGUCCCGUCAGAGCAUUAAGUCAUCAACCGUGAAAAUUCUGUCACGACGAACAAACAUUCUAGACAGUAAAUAUACAAACUGGAACAAUUUGCAUGUGAUAUCUAAAGAGUAACUGUCCAGGAAAAUCCGUCAGAGGAACUAAUUGUUAUUUAUGGUCCCAAACACCAUAAUUUUAAUAUGUAAAUGAUACCACACAUUCCAGACAAUAAAUAUACAAACUGGAACCAAUUGCUUGUGAUAUCUAAAAAACAAACUUCAAUAAUGCGUCAGAGAAACGUGUUUUUAUGUAUGAUCCUAAACACCUUUUAUUUUAAUACAUGUAUGUAAAUGAUCCUCAACACUAAUACCUUUGUGAUUUAUUUUCGAAUCAGCACGAGCUGGUUUACUCUUAAAAUUCUUUUUUCAGUAUGCAAUCAAAAAACUGGACAAGGUUAAGGUUUUUGCAAUUCAUUUUAAAGAAUUUCAAAGCAACUGUUGGAUUAAACGCAAAAUGGUUCCAAAUACAGAGGAAAACAAAAGAAAUCGUCAAUCAGAAACGUAAAAACUAUCGUAUCUGUCAUCAAAAAAGAUCACUAAUCCAAUCAAAAAGCUAACAUGCGUCACAUCUAUUCUACAUCAAUUCAUCAAAACAUGUUUUUCAAAAUUUUCCCAAAACCACCUGUCGUCGUAUAUUAACAAAAUACGAAAUUUCCAAUGGUAGGUGCACGUAUUAAAAAAUAAUUUGAAGUCUUACAAUAUUUUGUACAUAUAGGUGAUACACUGUGAUCAUGACGAGGACAUUUCAGAUUUUGCUGAUAUUUUCCUUGCUGUGCUUUGUAUUCAUUCGGCCAGGCAGUACAAGAUAUUACUAUACGAGGAGACCGACUACUACUACCACCACCGAGGAGCCGUUCAGAUGUCAUUUGCCCCAGUGUCCAGCCCCACCAACAAACUGUACAUACAGGUUAGAAUACCAAUGGAUUAAUGGAGUCUGGUGUCCAGUAGGGUGUAACCUCGAAUGUGAUGGUCCUAUCGGAAAAUUAAGUCAUCAACCGUGAAAAUUCUCUCAAGAUUUUGAUUUUGACUUCUCUCCUUCGUUCUGGACAAUAAAUAUACAACAGGAACAUUGUGUGUGUGAUAUCAUAACGAGCAUGAUCAGGAUUUAAUGGGAGAAUUUUGAUUUUAUUUGUCAAGUUUAGUCUCAUGCUUCUCUUAAGUAAUUCUAAUGUUCAUAGGUAUUUCUAAAGGUCAGUAAAAUUUCAAUGUCAUUUGUCGAAUAAUAAUCAAGAUACAGUGCGCACAAUUCUUUGUUAUGUAAACAAGGCGCUCGUGCCUUGUUUUAGUUUACAUUUGUACAUGUACA